GUCCUUAAGGAUAAACAGAAUCAGGGUAAGCUGUUUCUCUCUUCACCUCUGGCCGGUCAAGAGGUAGAAGGAUGUGGAAAUGCUGGGAUUGAAGUCUGUGCUUUCGCGUGCGUUCCACUUACUGCCCGAUCUGCGUUCCAUUAAGUCUCGGUAGGGGUGCGUACAUGCGGCUCCUGCCGUAAAAUGCCUUACGCGUUUCAUGACUGAAUAGUGUCACUUCAUCAGAGGCUUGUAAUAUGUGUGUACUGGGGUUACAUUGUGUGUUUAUCAAGGAGCUGUAGUGUUUAGAGGAACAUAUAGUAUGAUAUGAAGAAAAUUUAGUAAGAGCAAAGUCAGUUGAGGUGUGCUGAAACUGACGUGAAGUUAGACCUGUAAAAGAGGGCCCACCUAGGUGAUAUGAGAAUAAUAAAGGGUGCGGUGGGAGGGGAACAUCCGAGAUCGAUGACGACAGGUAAACAGGGGCUCACUGGGUUUAAAUAGGAAUAAUAGUCCCUCCCACAAUUACAGGCCAAGCCUUCCAUUUGUGUACGGCACAUUUAGAGAAACGUAUAGUAUACUAUGAAGAAAAUUUAGUAAGAGCAAAGUCAGUGGAGGUGUGCCGAAACUGACGUGAGGUUAGACCUGUAAAAGAGGGAAAAAAUAUAAGAAACGAUUCUUUGUCCAACAUAUUUAUUAAAGCAAUACAUUAUUUAGAAAUU